rnacentral:rRNA from 1 species
AUUGAACGCUGGCGGCGUGCCUAACACAUGCAAGUCGAGCGGUAACAGGUGUAGCAAUACAUGCUGACGAGCGGCGAACGGGUGAGUAAUGCUUCGGAAUCUACCCAAUGGUGGGGAAUAACCAGCCGAAAGGUUGGCUAAUACCGCAUACGUCCCACGGGAGAAAGCAGGGGAUCGCAAGACCUUGCGCCAAUGGAUGAGCCGAAGUCGGAUUAGCUAGUUGGAGGGUAACGGCCUACCAAGGCGACGAUCCGUAGCUGGUCUGAGAGGACGACCAGCCACACUGGGACUGAGACACGGCCAGACUCCUACGGGAGGCAGCAGUGGGGAAUAUUGGACAAUGGGGGAAACCCUGAUCCAGCGACGCCGCGUGUGUGAAGAAGGCC